AGAACUUAGCAGAGAUGCUUUGGUGCCUUCGGGAACUCUGAGACAGGUGCUGCAUGGCUGUCGUCAGCUCGUGUUGUGAAAUGUUGGGUUAAGUCCCGCAACGAGCGCAACCCUUAUCCUUUGUUGCCAGCGGUUAGGCCGGGAACUCAAAGGAGACUGCCAGUGAUAAACUGGAGGAAGGUGGGGAUGACGUCAAGUCAUCAUGGCCCUUACGAGUAGGGCUACACACGUGCUACAAUGGCGCAUACAAAGAGAAGCGACCUCGCGAGAGCAAGCGGACCUCAUAAAAGUGCGUCGUAGUCCGGAUUGGAGUCUGCAACUCGACUCCAUGAAGUCGGAAUCGCUAGUAAUCGUGGAUCAGAAUGCCACGGUGAAUACGUUCCCGGGCCUUGUACACACCGCCCGUCACACCAUGGGAGUGGGUUGCAAAAGAAGUAGGUAGCUUAACCUUCGGGAGGGCGCUUACCACUUUGUGAUUCAUGACUGGGGUGAAGUCGUAACAAGGUAAGCGUAGAUGA
rnacentral:rRNA from 1 species